GAUGAACGCUGGCGGCGUGCCUAAUACAUGCAAGUCGAGCGAACGGACGAGAAGCUUGCUUCUCUGAUGUUAGCGGCGGGCGGGUGAGUAACACGUGGAUAACCUACCUAUAAGACUGGGAUAACUUCGGGAAACCGGAGCUAAUACCGGAUAAUAUUUUGAACCGCAUGGUUCAAAAGUAAAAGACGGUCUUGCUGUCACUUAUUGAUGGAUCCGCGCUGCAUUAGCUAGUUGGUAAGGUAACGGCUUACCAAGGCAACGAUGCAUAGCCGACCUGAGAGGGUGAUCGGCCACACUGGAACUGAGACACGGUCCAGACUCCUACGGGAGGCAGCAGUAGGGAAUCUUCCGCAAUGGGCGAAAGCCUGACGGAGCAACGCCGCGUGAGUGAUGAAGGUCUUCGGAUCGUAAAACUCUGUUAUUAGGGAAGAACAUAUGUGUAAGUAACUGUGCACAUCUUGACGGUACCUAAUCAGAAAGCCACGGCUAACUACGUG
rnacentral:rRNA from 1 species